UUGGAUCAUUAGUAGAAUGCAGAGUACCAAGUAGUUCUAAAUUGAACAAUUUUGAUUACACUGCUAUCAAUUGCAGAAAACACAGUGCAAUUUUGACAGAUUUUGGUGCUGUUGGUGAUGGAAAAACCCUUAACACAAAAGCAUUUAAUUCAGCAAUACCCAAACUUAGCCAAUAUGCCAAUGAUGGUGGUGCAUUACUUAUUGUUCCACCUGGUAAAUGGUUAACUGGCAGUUUCAAUCUCACAAGCCAUUUCACUCUCUUCCUCCAAAAAGAUGCUGUCAUUCUUGGAUCUCAGGUAUAUUUAUACCGUCACUCUUUUAUUUAGCAGCAAUUGAAUUAUUAUUUUAUAAUUGAUUAAAUGGUCGUCAUUACGACACAGGAUGAAGCAGAUUGGCCUGAACUUCCUGUAUUACCGUCUUAUGGACGAGGAAGAGAUGCACCUGAUGGACGGUUUAGUAGUCUCAUUUUUGGAACUCAUCUCACUGAUGUUAUAAUUACUGGUAACUAUACAGANNNNNNNNNNNNNNNNNNNNNNNNNNNNNNNNNNNNNNNNNNNNNNNNNNNNNNAGUAAUCUUCAAAAUUGACCUAUUUGAAUUUGUUAAUAAGGUAACAAUGGAACAAUUGAUGGACAAGGAUCUUAUUGGUGGGACAAGUUAAAAAAGGAAGAACUGAAACUCACUAGGCCAUACUUGAUUGAGAUUAUGUAUUCUGAUCAAAUCCAAAUAUCAAAUCUCACUUUGAUCAAUUCUCCAUCUUGGAAUGUCCAUCCAAUUUACAGCAGGUUUGAUAAUGUUCCAUAUUUAAUUUUCUAAACUUAAUGCAUUCUUUUUUUUUUUUUUGGUCAGGAANNNNNNNNNNNNNNNNNNNNNNNNNNNNNNNNNNNNNNNNNNNNNNNNNNNNNNNNNNGAAGCCUAGUGGCUAGAAAUUUCACCUUAAGGUGGAUAAGUGAGAUGUCCGGGGUUUGAACCUCGACCCCGACAUAUAAAAUGUGAUGUCCUUACCAACUGAGCUAAGCUCAUGGGGACAAACUUAAAGCAUUUUUUUUCUUAAUGUUAUACAAUAUUUCAUUAUUCUAAUUAAAUUUAUAUGUUCAGUAACAUAAUUGUAAAUGGACUUACCAUUCUUGCACCAGUAGACUCUCCAAACACAGAUGGAAUAAACCCAGGUAAUGUAUUCUUAUAGAUUAUUAUAUACUUUCUAUUCAAUGGAAUUAAAAUUAUGGCAUUCAUAUGAAAAAAAGUUCAGUCACGAUGUCUAAAAUAAUACUAACCAGCCACUAAGUAUUUUUGGUCACAUUUUGUUUUCUUGACAGAUUCAUGUACAAAUGUUAGGAUUGAAGACAACUACAUUGUAUCUGGUGAUGAUUGUAUUGCAAUAAAAAGUGGAUGGGAUGAAUAUGGAAUCAAAUUUGGAAAGCCGUCACAAAAAAUAAUCAUUAGAAGGCUAACAUGUAUAUCUCCUGAUAGUGCUAUGAUUGCAUUAGGUAGUGAAAUGUCUGGUGGAAUUCAAGAUGUUAGAGCUGAAGAUUUAACUGCCAUCAACACAGAAUCAGCUGUUAGAAUCAAAUCAGCUGUCGGUAGAGGUGGAUUCGUGAAAGACAUUUUUGUUAAAGGGUUGAAUUUGAACACAAUGAAAUAUGUGUUUUGGAUGACUGGUUCUUAUGGACAACACCCUGAUGACAAGUUUGAUCCAAAAGCAUUGCCUAAGAUUAAUGGAAUAAACUAUAGAGAUAUUACAGCUAAGAAUGUAACGAUUGCGGGACAACUUGAAGGAAUUUCUAAUGAUCCUUAUACAGGAAUAUGUAUUUCUAAUGUGACUAUUGAAAUGAGUAAUGUACAAAAGGUAGAGAAGGUACCAAAGAAGAAGCUUCCAUGGAAUUGUACUGAUAUUUCUGGAGUUACAAGUAAUGUGGUUCCUCAACCAUGUGAAUUGCUGCCAGAGAAAGAGAAAUUGGAAUGUCCUUAUCCAAGUGACAAAUUGGCCAUUGAAAGUGUUAAGUUCAAGACUUGUUCCUUCAAACACAAACUAUGAUGAAACUGGAUACUUAUAAAAAAACGGAGGGACUACAUAACAAUAUUGUUUUAUCUCGAUACUUAUCUAAUAUUGAAAUUGCUAAUUAUUAUAGGUUUUUUUAUUCUAGUCAAAUAAUUGGAAAACAAAAAGGAAUUAGGUCGAAAUACAAAGAUCACACAAGUAACACGGUGUACUAUAUGCGAGUUAUUUAACUAGAGAAUAAUCUACUUCAUAUCUUAGAUGUCUAAAACACCAAUCAACCAUGCUGAAACUUGUUCCACGAGGAGCUGGAAGGGUAAUGCAUUUUUGCAAUUUUUUAUCAUCCAAUGUAGACACACUACAAAUUGUAGACUCAUGAUUGAGUGCAUAAAUAGAGUUGCUCUCAUAUCCCCACCUAUUUGGGUUGCUCAAUGCAUAACAUUUACUCUUGAGAGGAUCCCAAACAUGAAAUAAUGCAAUGUCGCCCAAACUCUCAAGUUUGACAUAAUUCAUGGUUGAGAAGUCUAUCUUGUACACAUUCAUUAUUGUCUUGGAGGUAAAAUCAAAAUCAACCACUAAAAGUUGCUCAUCACAAUUAACCAAGCUAAGGUGUGAGGUAAUUACAUUGGGAGUACUCUUCAGUUUUAGAUAUCUAAUAUUUGAAGAAUUCAAGUUAAGUACUCCUAUAUUGGCCUUCUCAGUGAUAACAUAUAUUAUAUUAUGUAAAACCACAAAGUCAACAACACGACCUAGAUUUUUUAUUAUUGAAUAAGUAACCCAACCACGAUUUCGAGAUUGAUAAACUUUCAAAUGAAAAUUGCAUAAUAAAACCACUAAGACAAAUUCCUCAGAGCAUUUGGCAAAAGCAAGUAGGGCAGAAUUAAGGUAAAACAUGGAUUCAAUUUUAGAGGGAAUUACCUUCUUUGUUCUUGUAAACGGAUUAAUUAGCAGAAAUGAAUGAUCAGAAUCCACCAUGAUAAAAUAUCCGCUAGAAAACAUAAUAUGGAAGCCAAAGCACUUCAUCUUGAAGCAAUAAACUUUUUGCUCGGAUAUGCUAAUAAAGGAAAAGAAUUCUUUAAGACCACCCAUCGAAAAUUGAAAAAGUAAUGGUUUUUGAGAUGUCAAGAAGUUUGUCCAAUAAAUUUUAUGAAAAGCCCUCCAAUUCUUAGACACACCAGCAAACUGAAAGAGAUCAUCAAAAUCUAAUUUUUUGAUAAUGAUAUCAAGCACAUCCCAUGGAAGCUCAAGUUGAGAUGAAAGUGUGAUUCGAUGUUCCUUUGGCAUGAAGGUGUUGAAUAACAAAAUUAAAUUUGUAUGCCCUUUAAGCAACUCCUUCAUUCUUUUUGUUGAGGAGUUACCUCUAGCCUUGAAAUCUUUUACGAGUUUCACAAUCUCAUUAUGUUUUUCCUUCUUAUCUUUAAACGUAACUUGUAUUGCCUUAAGAAACGCCAAUGCAUAUGGAUCGUAGCGAACAACUCUAGAAGAAGACUUGUUGUUUUGUCGGGGAAUCUUCAUCUUUGUUGAAAGAGUGUGAACCCUAAUUCACAAUUGAAAGAGGAAGAAGAAGACAAUGGUUCUGUCUCCACCGAUUGAACAAUCUCACUCUGGCGCAAAACGGGCCGCUAGUAUAGCAUUAAUUACAAUGGGCUUAAAUAACUGUAUACUGGGCCGAUGAACUUGGGCAACUAAAACACAAAAGCCCAAUCCCAAACUCAACCCUAAUCCCAAAUCCACUUUCACCGAUUGCUUCAAAUCCUAGCAGAAUCGACAAGCCUCAUAAAACUGGAGAUGAGUAACUCAAUUGAGCGUGUUGAUAAUGAUGAAAAAUGUGUCUCAAAGAGUGAAGAAAUUGUUGAGUCGUCAAGAAAUGCGUACUCCGUCGUCUUAUGUAAAAUUCCGGCGAAAAGAGGUGCGGCGGAUUGGAACACAAAGCAAGCAGAUGUCUUGUCGAGAAUGAUCAAAGAAAAAGCAACAAUUUCUUAAAGAAACAACAUUCAAUUUUCUGCAUAAAAAAGGUACCGUUUUUACAUCCUAUUCUUUUUGGUUCUUCGUAUAAAGUAAGUUAUUAUUGUAAAAUUGGUUCAAUUCAGAUAAGUUUAGUUUAACUAAGUAGUGUUUGUUAACAAUAUUCAAUUGGGGAUAAGUUAAAUCUGUCAGUAUGGAUGAGAUGUCUUGAUGAUUCAAUUUUAUGCAUGAAAAAGGUACCAUUUUUUACAUUCUUGAUGAUUAAAAAUUGUUCAAUCUUCUGCAAGAAAAAAGAAAACACUUUAAUUGAGGAAACAUGCUAUAUGUCCCAAAACUCUGUUUAACACCAAUGUUUUGAAAGAUUAUUUUUUUCAUUGCAACAUACUGGUUUAUUUAUGAUUGAUACCUUGUUCGGAUUCUUGAUUAUUCAAGAACAUCUAAGCUUCUACUUGAAAAGAAAAACCAAGUUGGUUAGGUGAGCUAAAUGCAUUUUGAAUUAUAAAUUUCUAUUCAUAAAUAUGGGGAGGUAUAAUUUAUUUUUUGAUGAUGCAAAUGCAAUAUUGCAAACUGUGCUAGCUUGCUGAAAGUUUUUGUAUGAUGUAAAUUCGGAUCAAAAUGGUUAAAUGUCUAUUCAACUCUUACAUCCAGUUAUUAUUCAUUAUCGGAAUUUUGAAAUGGUAUCUUUAAGCUAUUGAUGACCCUUACUCGAUGACUUUAUAAAUUAUGAGAUGGUUAACAUUUUACUUGAUGACCCUUAAGUCCAAUUGUUGGUUGUAUGAAUGAUGGUUAUGGUGAUAUGUUGUCUUGACGACCCUUGCCUCAAUAUGUGGAUAAAUGGUUCCUCAAUUAAGUCCAAUUUCUAUUGGCUAUAUAAAUUAUUUGAUGGAUAUAUGUUGCUUCGAUGACCCUUAAGUCAAUUUUUUAUUGGACUAAAUAAGUUCUUAGAUGGUUAUACGUUGCCUUGAUGACCCUUGCCUCAAUAUGUGGAUAAAUGUUGCUUCGAUUAAGUCCAAUUUCUAUUGGUUAUAUAAAUUAUGUGAUGAAUAUAUGUUGCUUCGAUGACCCUUAAGUCCAUUUUUGAUUGGACUACAUAAAUUCUUAGAUGGUUAUAUGUUGCCAUGAUGACCGUUGCCUCAAUAUGUGGAUAAAGGUUGCCUUGAUUAAGUCCAUUUUCUAUUGCUUAUAUAAAUUAUGUGAUGGAUAUAUGUUGCUUCGAUGACCCUUAAGUCCAUUUUUUAUUGGACUAUAUAAAUUCUGAGAUGACCCUUGCCUCAAUAUGUGGAUAAAUGUUGCCUUGAUUAAGUCCAAUUUCUAUUGGCUAUAUAAAUUAUGUGAUGAAUAUAUGUUGCUUUGAUGACCCUUGAGUCUAUUUUUGACAGACUAUUCUAACUUUUAACAAAGUUAUAGUUUUACAUUAUUAUGCUCGUUAAUUUGCAACAUGGGUUGGAGUUCAAAUUGGUCUAAGAAAUACAAUGUUACACCAAGCCACUGCAAGUUGGUUUGCAUUUUAUCAUGUUGGUGUUACACUUACAUUUAUGUUUGCUGUAUGCUAAUCAUCAGAGUUUAUUUUACUUGCUUUCUAAAUUAAGUUUUUAUGUGACAUAUUAAUAAAGCUAGGAGAAUAGAGGCACCUGAUUAUCAGCUUCUAAUAUUUUCUUUGCCUCCUAAGGGAACAUACAGAACAGAACUCACUAAAAACAGGAAAUAUUUUUCCCAAAUUGUUGAAACUCGAAUGCUUAGUUUCCCUUGCUGAUUUGUAGUUAAGAGAGCUCAUUUCUUCAUGGGUUGUCAGAGAGUAUAGCAGCUCCAUUGGUAGAAGAAAGUAAAACUUGCGCCUUUCAAGUUCUUUAUCGGUUGAACUCAAUGGCCUACUUCAAGGUAGGUUGAGUCACAAACAAACUGUCCAAGAUUUCCUACCAAACAACUCAUAGUUUUCCAUUGGGCUAAACUUAAGGAGAAAAUGCAAGUAUAUUGGACCAGUUUCUGCAGUCUCCAGAACACGUUGAGGCGUUUACUACUAUUUAUUCCACUGAACAUUCAAGCGAAGAAAAUAUAAAGGAGGGUGAAAAAUGGAAAUUAAAACUUGGAUACCAUAUGGUAAUAUAUUACAGGAACAUGACCGCUACAUCAAAGUUGCACAUCUGGUUUACCUAUGAAGUACAGUUCUGCAGUCCCAUUUUCCUAUAUUUGUGGCAAUCACAGAUUGGUUCGACCAAAAUAAAACAACUCAGAUUUCAACUGUGAUUUGAGUCAAGCUAAACAGAUAAAAUGUGAGCUGUCUGAUCAUGAUAAUCUGAUUUCUGCACAGCAGGUGGGGUUGAAGCAAUCUGUGUUAACUUUGAUUACUCGGGAUAUUUAAUUCAUCUUUUAAAAGUCCCCACAAUCUAAAUGUUGCCUCAAUAUGUAGAUAAAUGUUGGUUAAAAGACCCAAAGUCGCAAAGCCUUGGGUAAAAAUAACACUUGGUGCUAUUAUUGUACUUAAAAGGUUUUUCGUUGCCUCUAUUAAGUCCAAUUUCUAUUGGUUAUAUGAAUUAUGUGUCGGAUAUAUGUUGCUUCGAUGACCCUUAAGUCCAUUCUUGCCUCAAUAUGUGGAUAAAUGUUGCCUCGAUUAAGUCCAAUUUCUAUUGGCUAUAUAAAUUAUGUGAUGGAUAUAUGUUGCUUCGAUGACCCUCAAGUCCAAUUUUUAUUGGACUAUAUAAAUUUUUAGAUGGUUAUAUGUUGCCUUGAUGACCCUUGCCUCAAUAUGUGGAUAAAUGUUGCCUCGAUUAAGUCCAAUUUCUAUUGGCUAUAUAUGUGAUGGAUAUAUGUUGCUUCGAUGACCCUUAAAGUCCAUUUUUUAUUGGACUAAAUAAAUUCUUAGAUGGUUAUAUGUUGCCUUGAUGGCUAUAUAAAGUCCACUUUCCUUUAACUCAAAUUGUGUAUGGUGAUUGAUUUUUUUGUUCUAACUAACUGCUUAAUCAGUACUACAUAGUAAAGUGCAAAGAGUGCAAAAUAUGAUAUGGUGAAAGCAAAGAGAUAUGAUUCUUUGCAAGGUAAAAUGGUUAACUCCAAAAGCCAAAAAAAGAAAAACCUUAGGAUAAGUCCUGGAAUUUGAAAAUUUUGAUCUCUAGAAAUAAUUGAGACUAAAGAAAGUACUGUGCAACUAAAAAGUGGGGGAUCAUCAUUAUAAAUAAUGUGAUUUAAUUGCAUCUAUAUACAAAAUUAAGUUUUAUUUUGGUAUAUAGAGCUACAACUAUGUGCAGGUGAAUUAAGUUGUGCAAAAAUGCUUGUGUUUUUCUUCACAGAAAAAAUGUGGUUUGUUUCUCCUUCUGGCACUACAAAAUGCUCUAAACCUCACCUUCUCCUUUCUGUUUUCUAUUGUUCUAAGUCACAAAGAACUGUAACUGCAGAAAGGGAAAGAGUUAUUCACUGCUUUGACUAUUAGGAUACCAACUUCUGAGGUACUAUCAAAUUGCCAAUGACUACGGUGCUAUUUUACAAGUUUAUGCCAAUUGAUUUCACCAUCCAAUCACUUGAAAGCACUCCACCUAUAUACCUACAAAAUUUUGAUUGUUUUUUCUUUCAACAUUUUGUCUGUCACUAUAUUAGGUUUUUUAUUCGCUAGAUGGUAUGUUUGAGCGAAUGAUGGUCCUGGAUUUAGAUGGUAAAGUGUAACCUCCAUGACCUUCAAGUUCAAUAUCUAUUCAAAAUUUAAUUCUUGGGAUGGUAUGUGCCUUGAUGAAAUGAAAUUCAUAAUGCAAAAUUAAGACAAGUUUCAGCCUCUUCAUUCAUCUGCAGUUGUGAUAUGACUUAAUUAUUUGCAAUCUAAAAUUGAGAUGGUAUGAUUUGAGCUUUGAUUCAAGGCAUUGAUGAUGUAACUGAUCAUGAGUUCCAUCUUCCAGUUUGUCUUUAUUUAUCAGAUAAUAGAAACUGAAGGGUGGUAGACACUGGUUUUUAACAAUUUGGACUAUUUGAUAGGCAUAUGAUAAGGUUGUAUUUAAAUCAAGUAAAAAGAGAGCUUGCAAAUAUUAUGGAGGAAGAUGUUGAAGUUAAAUUUCUGGCACUAGAUCAGCGCAAAAAGCUGAAAGUUCAGUCACCGUGUCUUCUUGGUUUAUCAAUAUGGUUCUAUGGAGUGAUAAUACAGGGUGCUACUUGGCUGAUGGUAUGUCAUUUUUAUAUUGCCGGAAUAAAUCUUGCUAAAUUAGUUUGACUUAUAUGGUAUAUACAAUCACAGGGAUAAUUCUUGCUAAAUUUUGCAGCCAGUCAUUUUUAUAUCCUGGCUUAAAAGAUGGGCUUGGCUUCCAUUUUUAUAACUGACACGUGCAUUUGAUGAAAUGCAAUUCAUAAUGCAAACUUGAGAGAUGUUUCAGCUUAUUCAUUCAUCUGCAAUUUGAAUUCUUUAUUCAUAAUAUGAGCUUUAUCAUCUAAAAUUGAGAUGGUAUAAUUUGAGCUUUAUGAUCUAAAUGAAAAAUGAUGAAAAAUAGAAAUGACAAGCAACUUUGCUUCUAAGAUGUGUGGUGGGAUUGGAUUUCAGUCUUCAGUUUCAUACCAUUGGUGAGCUGAUCGAUCAUGAGUUCAAUCUUCCAGUUUUUCCUUAUUUAUCAUAUGAUCGAAAGGAAGGGAUGGUAAACACUAUGGUUUUUUAACGAUUUGGCCUAUUUGAUGUGCAUAUGAUAAAGUUGUCUACAAAUGAAGUAAAAAAGAAAAAACGAGCCUACUAUAAAAAAAAAGAAGAAAAAAGAGCUUGCAAAUAUUUUGGAGAUGCAAAAAGAUCAAAGUUCAAUCAUUGUGUCCUAUUGGUUUAUCAAUUUGGUAUUUUGGAAUGACAAUACAAGUGCUGUUUGGCAUAUUUUAUAGUUUUUCUUUUGGAAGUCUAAUGUUGGUGUCACAUUUUUUGGUUUGGCUUCAUCAUUUAGAAGAAGCAUCCUUUUCCGGUAUAUUGGUGUCACUGUUACAUACUCUUGCGCACUGUUGUCUUCCGAAGUGCUUGACCUUGACUUGAGUUUUAGUUCUCUUCCUGAUUUUAUCCGUUGACUUUAUUCUAAAGUAGUAGCAUCGAUCUCGUAUCUGUGUUCUUAGUUUUUAAUUGGGUGGAAAUAAAAAGCUUGUGUUCACUCUAUUUUCAAGGUGAAUUUAGCUUUUCACCUUUAAUUCUUAUUUUUAUGAAUUUUUGCAUACCAAUUUGAUAUGGAAGGUCCAAAAUUUCCCUGAAAAAAGUGAAAUUCCCUGAAAUGAGAGAAUACCGUACUAUUAUAUUCUCGAUGACAAUGUGCAGCCAAUACAGCAUGCUUACUGCAUUUGUUUUAUGCAGAUAUAUUUUAAAGGCAAUACUAAGACCUAUUCUACACAUCUCUAUUUGUAUGGUCUUUGGGUGGCUAUGAUUAUGUACCAUUUAAGAUAAGAGAUUCUGGUGCAUCCUUAUGGAGUCGCUUUAGUUUUGAUGGCUCCAUUUUUUUACUAUUUUGCGGCUGGCAUGUUGUCGGUAAUAAUAAUUGAUUUGAAGGUUUUGGUCAGGUCUUGAAUUGAUACGUCCAGUUUGGGAGCAUCCAGCUCUUGUAUUUCCGUCCAAGUGCUUUGCAUAAUCCUUCCCCGAUGUUCGGCUGUUUUCGUGUGGCUUUGAGGUACGCAUCUGUGUUCAUAGCAACAGUUAGGUUGUAUCUCAAAAUCCUCGACCCAUUGGCUGUCGAGUUGUAGAAAUUGCUUUCCUCUUUCUGCGUUUUUUCGGCAGUUUAGUUGCCUGGGCAGAGAUCCCUUACUGGUUGUAAUGACUAGCUUAUCUCAGCUAUGAGUUACAGGCCUUCUGAUUUUGUGUAGCAGAUGGACCUUUUUGAAUUUAGUGUUAGGUAUUGAAAAUCAAUAUGUUCAUAUAUUUCAUUCUAUUAGGAAGCACCCACUACAAUUCUAUUUGCAGUGUUUUUGUUCACAGCGGUGAAGUUCAUGAUGGACACUACUAUACUCAUGCAAGUCUGUACAAAUAUAACUGAACUUUCAAAGGCUCAUAUUUGUAUGCCAUUGUGAGAUUAAUUUUUUUUCUUCAUAAUUUGAGGGAUGUUAAUUAUGAGCCUAAUAACCCGAAAUCUGACUCCAACAUGGAUACUUUGUUCCUUGAUUCUUGUACGGGAUGAGAUGCCUGGAUAAUGCUUAAGGAAACUGAAAUAUGAACUCUUUAUUCAUAAUGCACUAUUGGAAUGGAUGGUAUGUUUGAGUCAUUGAAUGUGCACAAAAUCACUUAUGCAUUCGUUCGUAAUUGUAGAGUUGUUUGCGUAAUGGUGUCGGCUUAUUUGGUGACUUGUAGUUUUUUCUCUUGAUCGGAUUUAAAAUAUCAUAUGGUUUUGCAUUUUCCUUUUCAUUGUGUGUGGAGUGACAGUAUAGAUAGGCCAUGGUGCUACAACCUUUACUUGUGCAGUUUAAAUUCUCAGUGGGAUCACAAAGAUGUGAAGUGUCUUGGCUGGAUCUUGCAAUGUUUUUUACUGCAGACCUAUGAUAAAAUGAGGGAUUCAUUGGUUGCAAUCAAUGGCUUAAAUUUGGUGAGUGUUGGUAUAACAAUCACAUAGCGUCUCCGGGUUUUAGGAGGUCCUGUGCAAAAUAUAAAAGUGGCUCUUUAAUAUAAAUUUUUUUUUUUUUUUUAAAAGCUGUCGAUUUAAAUUGCGUAGAAUAUAAAAAAAUCAUUUUUAUUCUUGUAAACAUAUAGAUUAUCAAUAUUAAACCAAUUGCAUCAAAUCAAAUGGGAUAAAAAAUACAAAAUAAUUAUCUUUGUAUAUAACUUCAAAAAGGAACCUCAUAAUCUAAGUUUAAAUUUUAUGGAAAGAUUAAAAUGGACUAAAACUAUAUUUACGAGUAUAGAUAAUUAAUCUAUUGAUACUCAUAUGAUAUUAUAUGAACAUUAACAAUAUAUANNNNNNNNNNNNNNNNNNNNNNNNNNNNNNNNNNNNNNNNNNNNNNNNNNNNNNNNNNNNNNNNNNNNNNNNNNNNNNNNNNNNNNNNNNNNNNNNNNNNNNNNNNNNNNNNNNNNNNNNNNNNNNNNNNNNNNNNNNNNNNNNNNNNNNNNNNNNNNNNNNNNNNNNNNNNNNNNNNNNNNNNNNNNNNNNNNNNNNNNNNNNNNNNNNNNNNNNNNNNNNNNNNNNNNNNNNNNNNNNNNNNNNNNNNNNNNNNNNNNNNNNNNNNNNNNNNNNNNNNNNNNNNNNNNNNNNNNNNNNNNNNNNNCAAAUUUGGGAGGUUUGCCGGUCAGGUGUUUGACGUCAAACCAUCGUGUUCCUAUUUCCACAAACAAAAGGGAGAAGAUAGAAAACUUAUUGUGUUUGAAAUUUUGUAUUACCGAAAAUACUCCUCGGUACUUAGUUGAAGGUAACCUGUUCUAGUGGGUCAUUUGAACAGGUCCAUCAGUGGACCUUUAUUUUUGAGGUUCAUAUUAAGGGCUCCCAUAAAUAAUAUAUAAGUAAUAUUACAGGACCUCAAAAUUUUGAAUUGAGGCCCGAUGCCGUCGCCAGGGACGGAUCUAGACAUGAAAAUCUGGUGUGGCUAAAAUCUUAAAGAAACAAUGAACUAAAUUAUACUGAAAAUAAGAUAUAAUAUUAUUAAGUACAAUAUAUUUACAACGAAAAUCGUCUAUCAUCCAUUUGUUGAAAAUGAGCUAAAAUGACAUCAAUGUCAAUUGUUGCAAGAACAUCUCUUUCUAUAAGAGUUACAAGACGGUCAUUUAACCAUUGAUCACUCAUUUUGUUACAUAGAAAACUCUUUACUAAAUUAAUUCAUAGCUGAAAAAAUGUGUUUCACACUUGCAGUUGCUACCGGCAAGACUAAAGCCAACUUCAAAAGUUUAUAAACCAAAUCAUAUGUGUUGCACUUAUUUGUUUACACAAGUUUUGCACAAAGAUCUAAAAGUCCUUUUAAAUUUGCAAAAUUUGUGUCCUUUCGAACAUAAGAAUUAACGUGGUACAAUUAUUUUUGUUAUGACUAAAAAUUGUAUAUUUUUUAAGAAACUAUUUUCUCCUACUUUAAUUAUAAUCAAAUAUUCACUUUUUAAACUAAUUGAAUAAAUGAUAUAUUUUUUUUGGCAUUAGUCCCUUGAUUUCCGUGCGAAGGGAGUCCGAUAAUACAGAGUUCGGCUGCGAUGUUAGAAAAAUUUGGCUAAGAAUUGUUCCCACUAAAAAUCAAACUCGAAUUCUACCAAACGAUAUUUCCUAAAAAAAUAAAUGAUGUAUUUGAUGAAUAAUAAUAAUGAAAAAGAUUGUAUCCAACUUAUACCGACUAAUAUUAUACAAAGAAUGAAAAUAAUCAUGCAAAAUGGUUGUUGGGCUAACCAAUGCGACACGAUAAUUACUCACACAAUUUUUCUCUUUCAUUACAUAUAUUUUUAUAAAAGAAAAAUAUGAAAAAUCUGGUGUGGCUUUAGCCACACACAGUCCCUUAGUGUGUCCGUCCCUGGCCGUCGCACACCUUGCACAUGUGUGCAAGCCGCCCCUGCAUAGCAGUAUAUUGAGUUUAAUGAAUAUGCUCUGUCUAUGUGAAUUCAUUUUACACUGACAUCCAAUAGAAAUCAGACAUUCCGCCAUACCAUAUAAUUAAAGUGGGUGUAGUGAGGUGAUUUGGGGGAUACAUAGUUGCUAUUAGAUGACAAUAUAAAAUUAUUUUACACUGACAAUACGUAUCCUAUUUCUCCCCGUAUAUUUGUGUUGAUAAUUGUAGGUACAAUACAACAAUUGCAAAUUGCAAUUGAUGAAUUGAUCAUGUAGGUGGUGCAGAGCCUUUAGAUUAUGCAAAGCAUAUUAAUCUUGAAGAUUUUGAAAGACUUUGUGAGAUUGUAUUGAUUUUAUGAGAUUUUAGAAGACUUUUUUGAAUGAUUUUUUCAAUCAAGAUUCUUAAUACAAGAAUUUGUGAGACUUUAUGACACAGACUUUUGAGAUUUCGGAUUACUUUAUAAACUUUUGAAAUUUAAAUGAGUCAAUAAAUUCGAUAUAAAUUCAUUCUAAAAUAAUAAUGAAUGAAUUAAUGAAAAUUAAUCAUUCCUUAAAAAAAAUCAACAAUCAUUAAUAUAAUAAAAAAAAUCAAUGAAUAAAAUUCUACCAAAAAAAUAUCAAUGAAUAAACAAAAAAACAAUUUAAAAAAAAAAUGACGAAGUUCUGUUGCUGUUAAUGUUGUAACAUGUUGUUAUUGUAUAUAGUAGUAUUAUUUUCAAUGUCUCUAUAAUGAAUCGUGACAGUAUAUUGUAUACAACGAUUAUUGGGUUUCAUGUUCCAUAUAUUGAUUUGCUUUGCGUGAAAAGAAUGAUGAACAAUAUUUCAAACUGGUUAUAAUAUCGAUUCAAGCAGUAAGGAAGAACUUGAUGGUGGGAAAGAAAAAAAGUCUUGGAAAAUCAUGAAAAGUCUCAAGGGUUUAGGUGGGAUUGUUGGAUUAGAGUUUUAUGUGUAUUUUGAACUAAAAAGUCUUUCAAAAUCCAUCGCAUAAAAGAAUCCAUCAAAAUCUGUAGACUUUUGAAUACCAAUAGACAUUUUUAAAAAGGUGAGAAAUCUUAAUUGAAUACCAACAGAUUUUGUUGCCUUGAAAAAAAAUCUUAAUUGUCUUAAUUGAGUACCACAUGAUUUACUUAACUUUUGUAAAAGUCUUGAUUGAAUACCACAAGAUUUUUUUAUCAGAAAAAAGUCUUUUAAAAUCCCAUGAAAUCUUAAUCAAAUACACACCUUUCUUAAUCGUAAGGGGAUUUGAGCCCUUAAACAUUUUGGUCAGAGAUUCGAUCUCUGACUUUUACAUAUGGAGAAAAAUCGGUUGAAAGAGAGAGAACGCGAUUUGUAUGACUCACAAUUUUCGUGACGGAUAUUAUGACAAAAAAAACAUUUUUUGUCGAAAAAAAUAAUUUUCGUUUUAUAUGGUCUCCGUACAAUAAAUAAAAUUUAAUCCAGUCAAAAACAAAAUUGAACUUGGUAAACUAAUAAAUUAUAGCCAUAAAAGAUAAUAAUGUUGAUUGAAAACUUCCUAAACGGUUCAUAUUUUCAUAUUAUGCAUCAUAAAAUACAUUAUUAUAGUCAUAAUAAUCCUCUAUAUAUAUAUCGACCAUAUACCUGUGGUUUCUCUUCUAACUACAAGCAUCAUGUCUCAUCAAAACUUCUAUGUAAUUUUCUUUAUAACUUUAUACAUUCUUUGUUCUCAUGAUUUUGAUCAUCUUAUUAACCAAAUUUUGGUUUGUGUAUUGUUCGUAUACUUGUUCUAUGUCACUUUCUAAAUAGUUUUUAUGUUGCAUUUUUUUUUUGUCUAACCGUUACAUGUAAUGAUUAUUAUUUUGUGUAUGCAGAUUAUUAGUGUGAUCUCUGCAGUUCUGAUAUUUGGAUCAUUAGUAGAAUGCAGAGUACCAAGUAGUUCUAAAUUAAACAAUUUUGAUUACACUGCUAUCAAUUGCAGAAAACACAGUGCAAUUUUGACAGAUUUUGGUGCUGUUGGUGAUGGAAAAACCCUUAACACAAAAGCAUUUAAUUCAGCAAUAACCAAACUUAGNNNNNNNNNNNNGAUGGUGGUGCAUUACUUAUUGUUCCACCUGGUAAAUGGUUAACUGGUAGUUUCAAUCUCACAAGCCAUUUCACUCUUUUUCUCCA
rnacentral:lncRNA from 1 species